rnacentral:rRNA from 1 species
GAUGAACGCUGGCGGCGUGCCUAAUACAUGCAAGUCGAACGAACUAAUUUAUUAGUGAGUGGCGAACGGGUGAGUAAUACAUAAGUAACCUGCCCUAGACAGGGGGAUAACUACUGGAAACGGUAGCUAAAACCGCAUAGGUAUGGGAAUCGCAUGAUUGCCAUAUUAAAAGUGCUAAGGCACUGGUAGAGGAUGGACUUAUGGCGCAUUAGCUAGUUGGUAGGGUAAAGGCUUACCAAGGCGACGAUGCGUGGCCGACCUGAGAGGGUGACCGGCCACACUGGGACUGAGACACGGCCCAGACUCCUACGGGAGGCAGCAGUAGGGAAUUUUCGGCAAUGGGGGGAACCCUGACCGAGCAACGCCGCGUGAAGGAAGAA